rnacentral:rRNA from 1 species
UACGUAGGGGGCAAGCGUUGUCCGGAUUUAUUGGGCGUAAAGAGCGUGUAGGCGGUUUGGUAGGUCCGCUGUGAAAACUCGAGGCUCAACCUCGAGACGCCGGUGGAAACCAUCAGGCUAGAGUCCGGAAGAGGAGACUGGAAUUCCAGGUGUAGCGGUGAAAUGCGUAGAUAUCUGGAGGAAUACCGGUGGCGAAGGCGGCAUCCUGGACCGAGAUUGACACUGAAAAGCGAAAGCCAGGGGAGCAAACGGG